rnacentral:tRNA from 1 species
GGCUGGAUGGUGUAGUGGCAGCAUAUAUUGUUUGGGACGAUGUGACCCUGGUUCAAUUCUUGGUCUGGCCC